ensembl:lncRNA
UUGUUUUUUCAGCAUUGCUUUAUUUCUGACACAAGAAUGCAGAUAAAGGCAACAACCAAUUGAAGUCCAGUUACAGGAUGUUGGACGACGGCGGACCAAUCAAGAGACAAGAGAGAGAGGUACGAAUGAGCCGAUUGGAUCAGGUACAGCUGACAGGAUCUAUAGAACCCAGUAAAACAAUACAGUAUGGGAAGUGAAUGAGUUACAUGGAUGUCUAGUUGUCUACUUAUACUCGGUGGCAAAUAAAUCCUUCACAUUAUCUAAAUAUAAACCACGAAAAGUACGGCUAAAAGGAAACAUUAAUGAAGAUGAUUUUUUUCUUACUUAUUAUCUAGCACAGAGAGGCCUCUGAACAAUACAACAACAGACGUGGACUUGACAGCAUAAUAUCUUUGAUGGCUUAGAAAGAAGGGACCAUUUUUUUUAUGUUUUUCUUUUUCUAUUCUCGUUGCCAUUCACGAGGCGACGGCUAAUGAUGGGCCAGAAUUAAGUAGCAUCACUUAAACGACAUCAAAGUCGAGUGCAUUCUCCCCCCCCCCCCGGCACGGCAAUUCACAACAUACAAAAAAAUAUACACACAGAAUAGGGUUCUUCCCGUAAUGAAAUGUAAGAAAAACAAUAAAAGUUGUACUAGUCACUUUUACCCUGAUUUAACUUAAUACCGUUUUUUGGCGUCCUGACAGUUCUAUGAUUUGUAUUGUUAAUCAACAGGCUUUGAAACCUGAAGGCUUCUUAUGGACAACCCACUGCCGGGAGAUUUUUGUUUUUUAAUUUCUCAGGGAGGCCAUUUUCUUUUCAGAGUGCAGUUUAAAACAUGUCAAGUAUUAACAACAGCCACUGUGCAUUGUUUGUGAAAAAAAUACCAAAGGGUAACACUGUGCAAUGUGUAACUGACAAACCCCUGUCAUUUUAAAAGGUAAAAAUAGGGAAUUGCCAAUUACACUUUAUCCCCAAACGUCUUAUACUCUUUAGAGAACUAGUCAAACCCGUUAAAUAUGAUGGAAUGUAUUUUUACGAUAGUUCCAGUAAAUCCAAUACUACCCAAUUCUAACACCAGUAAAUCCAGUCAAGGCAAGACUCCAAUUCCAAUUCAAACAUAAUAAAAUGAUUUAGAUAGAGAUGAAGAGUCUUUGGUAUGAUACAUCAUUUGGUAUUUCUAAUACUUCCGAAAUGUAAAAAUGUCAACAGCCAUUCUGUGCAGUUUGUAGCCAGUCAAAAUAUACGAAAUUGGAAUUCAAGAACCUAUGAAAUAUAUAAAAAUAACUACAUUAAUGGUCCACAAGCACAAUCUAACACGUGGAAACUUAUGAAGCAUAUGUUCCAGGUAAAUAAAAAGAAACACGUAGAGUUUUUGAUAUUUUGGUUUUUCCUGUUUCACACCGAUCCAGUUCUAUAGAUUUGUACUCAGGUACGCAAUUCUAACAAGCUACAGUAGUUGAGUUAUUGGAAAUCGAAGGAGUAAAGGCGUUGCAGAAAUGGAACACAACUGUAAAGACCUCACACUCUACUAAAUUAUCACCUAUGAUAAUGAUUCAAAAAGCAUAUCAACAGCUACAGAUGAACAGCUUCCACAAUGUUAUGUGACAUACACGGACAUAUAAAAAACAUUGCAUUUUUUUAUACCCUGUGGUUUGCGUCAAUGAGAGUUGAAUCUUUAUUGACCCCUGUUUAGACUGCUGUGGGGAAGAGGGUAUCAGACAGGAUUAGACACACACACACACACGCACACAAUCUAUGACUCCAACAACACAAACUCACACACACAGGAACUCAACACACACACUAACAUAACUUGAUACACUCAUAGCACCACAAACAGUUUUCACACACACACACACACACACACACACACACACACACACACACAC